CCUACGGGAGGCUGCAGUGGGGAAUAUUGGGCAAUGGGCGCAAGCCUGACCCAGCAACGCCGCGUGAAGGAAGAAGGCUCUCGGGUUGUAAACCUCUUUUAUCAGGGACGAAGCAAGUGACGGUACCUGACGAAUAAGCCACGGCUAACUACGUGCCAGCAGCCGCGGUAAUACGUAGGUGGCAAGCGUUAUCCGGAUUUACUGGGUGUAAAGGGCGUGUAGGCGGGAAAGCAAGUCAGAUGUGAAAGCCGUGGGCUCAACCUGCGGCCUGCAUUUGAAACUGUUUGUCUGGAGUACAGGAGAGGCAGGCGGAAUUCCUAGUGUAGCGGUGAAAUGCGUAGAUAUUAGGAGGAACACCAGUGGCGAAGGCGGUCUGCUGGACAGCAACUGACGCUGAGGCGCGAAAGCGUGGGGAGCAAACAGGAUUAGAUACCCGAGUAGUC
rnacentral:rRNA from 1 species